rnacentral:rRNA from 1 species
CCUGCUCAAUGAAAUUUUUAAAUUGCUGUAGUAUUUUGACUAUACAAAGGUAUUGUAAUAAGAUUUUAAUUGAAUGCUAAGAGAAUGGAACUACAAAGAACAGCUAUUUUAAACUUAAAAAUUAAAGUUAUUUUAAUUUGUGAAGAAACAAUUAUUAAAAUUAAGGACAAGAAGACCCUAAGAAUUUUAUAAUUAGUAAGUUUUUAUAAUAAAAAGUUACUAAUUUUUAGUUGGGGCAACUAAAAAAUAUUAUGAACUUUUUAAUAACUAAAAUGAACCACUAUUAUUGAUAACUUGAAAAAAAUACUCUAGGGAUAACAGCGUAAUAAUUUUUGAUAGAACAUAUAGACAAAAUAGUUUGCGACCUCGAUGUUGGAUUAGGAUUCUUUUUUAAUGAAGAUGUUAAAAAAAGGAGUUUGUUCAACUUUUAAAGUCCUACAUGAUCUGAGUUUAGACCGAU